rnacentral:tRNA from 1 species
GGACCUUUAGCUCAGUUGGUUAGAGCUGACGGCUCAUAACCGUCCGGUCGCAGGUUCGAGUCCUGCAAGGUCCA